rnacentral:tRNA from 1 species
GGUCCUGUAGUUCAACGGAUAGAAUAGAAGUUUCCUAAACUUUAGAUAGGGGUUCGAUUCCCCUCGGGACUACCA